GUCCGAGUGGCGGAACUGGCAGACGCGUACGUUUGAGGGGCGUAUGGGAGACCAUGUGGGUUCAAGUCCCACCUCGGACACCA
rnacentral:tRNA from 4 species